GACGAACGCUGGCGGCGUGCUUAACACAUGCAAGUCGAACGAUGAUGCCAGCUUGCUGGUGGAUUAGUGGCGAACGGGUGAGUAACACGUGAGCAACCUGCCCCUGACUUCGGGAUAACCGCGGGAAACCGUGGCUAAUACCGGAUAUGACGCGCUAUCGCAUGGUGGUGCGUGGAAAGAUUUAUCGGUUGGGGAUGGGCUCGCGGCCUAUCAGCUUGUUGGUGGGGUGAUGGCCUACCAAGGCGACGACGGGUAGCCGGCCUGAGAGGGUGACCGGCCACACUGGGACUGAGACACGGCCCAGACUCCUACGGGAGGCAGCAGUGGGGAAUAUUGCACAAUGGGCGCAAGCCUGAUGCAGCGACGCCGCGUGAGGGAUGACGGCCGUCGGGUUGUAAACCUCUUUCAGUAGGGAAGAAGGCCUUCGGGUUGACGGUACCUGCAGAAGAAGCGCCGGCUAACUACGUG
rnacentral:rRNA from 1 species